CUCCCUCUCUUUUUUUUUCCUUUCCUCUUCUAAUAUUUUUUUCCCUUUUCCCUCUCUUUUCUGAUCUUUUUUGUUUUGUUUCGUAUAAUUUUAGAUCCCAUUCAAAAAUUAAAAAAUUAAAUUUAAAAAUUAAAUUUUAAUCUGUUUCGGUGCUAUUUACUAUAUAGUUUAAAAUUUUUAAAAUUUAUAUAAAUUUUUCGCUGCGUAGCGCGGGCCUUCACUAGUAAUUAUAACUACAAUAUAAUUAAAAACACAUGCAGAUGGA
rnacentral:lncRNA from 1 species